GACGAACGCUGGCGGCGUGCUUAACACAUGCAAGUCGAACGGUGAAGCGCCUUCCUUUUUGGUGGGUGUGGAUGAGCGGCGAACGGGUGAGUAACACGUGAGUAACCUGCCCCCUUCUUCUGGAUAACCGCAUGAAAGUGUGGCUAAUACGGGAUAUUCUGGGUCUGUCGCAUGAUGGGUCUGGGAAAGAUAUUGUUUCGGUGGGGGAUGGGCUCGCGGCCUAUCAGCUUGUUGGUGGGGUGAUGGCCUACCAAGGCGGUGACGGGUAGCCGGCCUGGGAGGGUGGACGGUCACACUGGGACUGAGGCACGGCCCCGACUCCGACGGGAGGCAGCAGUGGGGAAUAUUGCACAAUGGGCGCAAGCCUGAUGCAGCGACGCCGCGUGAGGGAUGGCGGCCUUCGGGUUGUGAACCUCUUUCGCCAGUGAAGCAGGCCUGCCUCGUUUGUGGGUGGGUUGACGGUAGCUGGAUAAGAAGCGCCGGCUAACUACGUG
rnacentral:rRNA from 1 species